UUCCGGUUGAUCCCGCCGGACCUGACUGCUAUCGGAUUGAUACCAAGCCAUGCGAGUCAUUGUAGUAAUACAAGGCAGACGGCUCAGUAACGCGUAGUCAACCUACCCUAUGGACGGGAAUAACCUCGGGAAACUGAGAAUAAUGCCCGAUAGAACAUUAUGCCUGGAAUGGUUUAUGUUCCAAAUGAUUUAUUGCCGUAGGAUGGGACUGCGGCCUAUCAGUUUGUUGGUGAGGUAAUGGCCCACCAAGACUAUUACAGGUACGGGCUCUGAGAGGAGUAGCCCGGAGAUGGGUACUGAGACACGGACCCAGGCCCUAUGGGGCGCGGCAGGCGAGAAAACUUUGCAAUGUGCGAAAGCACGACAAGGUUAAUCCGAGUGGUUUCUGCUAAAGGAACCUUUUGUCAGUCCUAGAAACACUGGUGAAUAAGGGGUGGGCAAGUUCUGGUGUCAGCCGCCGCGGUAAAACCAGCACCUCAAGUGGUCAGGAUGAUUAUUGGGCCUAAAGCAUCCGUAGCCUGCUUUGUUAGUUUUCGGUUAAAUCCAUACGCUUAACGUAUGGGCUGCCGGGAAUACUGCAAAGCUAGGGAGUGGGAGAGGUAGACGGUACUCGGUAGGAAGGGGUAAAAUCCUUUGAUCUAUUGAUGACCACCUGUGGCGAAGGCGGUCUACCAGAACACGUCCGACGGUGAGGGAUGAAAGCUGGGGGAGCAAACCGGAUUAGAUACCCGGGUAGUCCCAGCUGUAAACUAUGCAAACUCGGUGAUGCAUUGGCUUGAUGCCAAUGCAGUGCCGCACGGAAGCCGUUAAGUUUGCCGCCUGGGAAGUACGUACGCAAGUAUGAAACUUAAACGAAUUGGCGGGGGAGCACCACAAGGGUGAAGCCUGCGGUUCAAUUGGAGUCAACGCCGGGAA
rnacentral:rRNA from 1 species